rnacentral:lncRNA from 7 species
GUUUCUGUCUCUGUGGAGGUUCUUUCCGUUCUUUCCGUUCUUUCUUGUUUUUCUGUACCUUUUUUUUGUUUCUGUCUCUGUGAGGUUCUUUCCGUUCUUUCCGUUCUGUUUUUUUUGAACUGUCACCUAAUUUUCUGCCCUAUGUUUCUGUCUCUUGAGGUUCUUUCCGUUCUUUCCGUUCUUUCCGUUCUUUUUGUUGUUUUUGAACUGUCACCUAAUUUUCUGCCCUAUGUUUCUGUCUCUGUGGAGGUUCUUUCCGUUCUUUCCGUUCUUUCCGUUCUUUCCGUUCUUUCCGUUCUUUCUGUUGUUGUUUUUGAACUGUCACCUAAUUUUCUGCCCUAUGUUUCUGUCUCUGUGGAGGUUCUUUCCGUUUCCGUUCUUCCGUUCUUUCUGUUUUUUGUUUUUUUCCGUUUUUCCGUCUUUUCUUUCGUUCUUUCCGUUCUUUCCGUUCUUUUUGUUGUUUUUGAACUGUCACCUAAUUUUCUGCCCUAUGUUUCUGUCUCUGUGGAGGUUCUUUCCGUUCUUUCCCGUUCUUUCCGUUCUUUCCGUUGUGUUUUUGAACUGUCACCUAAUUUUCUGCCCUAUGUUUCUGUCUCUGUGGAGGUCUUUCGUUCUUUUGUUCUUUCCGUUCUUUCCGUUUUUUUUGUUGUUUUUGAACUGUCACCUAAUUUUCUGCCCUAUGUUUCUGUCUCUGUGGGCGUUCUUUCCGUUCUUUCCGUUCUUUCCGUUCUUUCUGUUGUUGUUUUUGAACUGUCACCUAAUUUUCUGCCUAUGUUUCUGUCUCAGUGGAGGUUCUUUCCGUUCUUUCCGUUCUUUCCGUUCGUUUUGUUUUUGAACUGUCACCUAAUUUUCUGCCCUAUGUUUCUGUCUCUGUGGAGGUUCUUCCGUUCUUUCCGUUCUUUCCGUUCUUUUUGUUCUUUUUGAACUGUCACCUAAUUUUCUGCCCUAUGUUUCUGUCUCUUUGGAGGUUCUUUCCGUUCUUUCCGUUCUUUCCUUCUUUUUUGUUGUUUUUGAA